AUUGAACGCUGGCGGCAGGCCUAACACAUGCAAGUCGAGCGGAUGACGGGAGCUUGCUCCUUGAUUCAGCGGCGGACGGGUGAGUAAUGCCUGGGAAUCUGCCUGGUAGUGGGGGACAACGUUUCGAAAGGAACGCUAAUACCGCAUACGUCCUACGGGAGAAAGCAGGGGACCUUCGGGCCUUGCGCUAUCAGAUGAGCCUAGGUCGGAUUAGCUAGUAGGUGAGGUAAUGGCUCACCUAGGCGACGAUCCGUAACUGGUCUGAGAGGAUGAGCAGCCACACUGGAACUGCGACACGGUCCAGACUCAUGCGGGAGGCAGGAGUGGGGAAUAUUGGAAAAUGGGCGAAAGCCUGAUCCAGCCAUGCCGCGUGUGUGAAGAAGGCCUUCGGAUUGUAGAGCACUUUAAGUUGGGAGGAAGGGUUGUACGUUAAUACCGUGCAAUUUUGACGUUACCGACAGAAUAAGCACCGGCUAACUCUGUGCCAGCAGCCGCAGUAAAAC
rnacentral:rRNA from 1 species